rnacentral:rRNA from 1 species
GCAGUCGACGCUUCUUUUUCCACCGGAGCUUGCUCCACCGGAAAAAGAGGAGUGGCGAACGGGUGAGUAACACGUGGGUAACCUGCCCAUCAGAAGGGGAUAACACUUGGAAACAGGUGCUAAUACCGUAUAACAAUCAAAACCGCAUGGUUUUGAUUUGAAAGGCGCUUUCGGGUGUCGCUGAUGGAUGGACCCGCGGUGCAUUAGCUAGUUGGUGAGGUAACGGCUCACCAAGGCCACGAUGCAUAGCCGACCUGAGAGGGUGAUCGGCCACAUUGGGACUGAGACACGGCCCAAACUCCUACGGGAGGCAGCAGUAGGGAAUCUUCGGCAAUGGACGAAAGUCUGACCGAGCAACGCCGCGUGAGUGAAGAAGGUUUUCGGAUCGUAAAACUCUGUUGUUAGAGAAGAACAAGGAUGAGAGUAACUGUUCAUCCCUUGAC